CCGACGAUAGCUCAGCUGGUAGAGCGGAGGACUGUAGUGUUGUGUAGUUAUCUGUUAUCCUUAGGUCGAUGGUUCAAAUCCGUCUCGUCGGA
rfam:Lottia gigantea unplaced genomic scaffold LOTGIsca_50, whole genome shotgun sequence.